rnacentral:rRNA from 1 species
GAUGAACGCUGGCGGCAUGCCUAAUACAUGCAAGUCGAGCGAUGAAGCUCCUUCGGGAGCGGAUUAGCGGCGGACGGGUGAGUAACACGUGGGUAACCUGCCUCAUAGAGGGAAUAGCCUUUCGAAAGGAAGAUUAAUACCGCAUAAGAUUGUAGUUUCGCAUGAAACAGCAAUUAAAGGAGUAAUCCGCUAUGAGAUGGACCCCGCGUCGCAUUAGCUAGUUGGUGAGGUAACGGCUCACCAAGGCGACGAUGCGUAGCCGACCUGAGAGGGUGAUCGGCCACAUUGGGACUGAGACACGGCCCAGACUCCACGGGUGCUG